AAAAUUAAAGAACCUUAGUGAGCGCGCUCACAUACCCCACGUCCUCACAUUGUCAUUUGAGAAAUAAAAUAUGUGUAAGAAAAAAAAAUUGAAUCAUAAUUUCCUGUCAAUAUACACAUCUACAUAGUAUGUCCUUAUUAUCUACAAAGUUUCAUGAAAUUAUGUUGUGUGGUUUCAGAGGAGUUGCGAUGAAAAACUGUUGCAGAAGACAUUGAAGCAAAUAAGUUCAAAGGGGCGUAACUCCUAGAAAAAAUAUUGAAUCAUAAUUUCCUGUCGAUAUGCACAUCUACAUAGUAUGACCUUAUUAUCUACAAAGUUUCAUGAAAUUCUGUUGUGUGGUUUCAGAGGAGUUGUGAUGACAAACUGUUGCAGUAGUACAUUGAAGCAAAUAAGUUCAAAGGGGUGUAACUCCUAGAAAAAAAAUUGAACCGUAAUUUCCUGUCGAUAUGCACAUCUACAUAGUAUGUCCUUAUUAUCUAAAAAGGUUUCAUGAAAUUCUGUUGUGUGGUAUCAGAGGAGUUGUGAUGACAAACUGUUGCAGUAGUACAUUAAAGUAAAUAAGUUCAAAGGGGCGUAACUCCUAGAAAAAAAAUUGAACCAUAAUUUCCUGUCGAUAUGCACAUCUACAUAGUAUGUCCUUAUUAUCUAAAAAGGUUUCAUGAAAUUCUGUUGUGUGGUAUCAGAGGAGUUGCGAUGACAAACUGUUGCAGUAGUACAUUAAAGUAAAUAAGUUCAAAGGGGCGUAACUCCUAGAAAAAAAAUUGAAUC